rnacentral:rRNA from 1 species
UGGGGAAUAUUGCACAAUGGGGAAACCGUAGCAUGCAGCCAUGCCGCGUGUAUGAAGAAGGCCUUAGGGUUGUAAAGUACUUUCGGUGAUGAGGAAGGUACUUGGUCUAAUAGGCCAAGUAAUUGACGUUAAUUACAGAAGAAGCACCGGCUAACUCCGUGCCAGCAGCCGCGGUAAAUACGGAGGGUGCGAGCGUUAAUCGGAAUGACUGGGCGUAAAGGGCAUGUAGGCGGAUGAUUAAGUUAGGUGUGAAAUCCCCGACGCUCAACUUGGGAAUUGCAUUUAAAACUGGUCGUCUAGAGUAUUGUAGAGGAAGGUAGAAUUCCACGUGUAGCGGUGAAAUGCGUUAGAGAUGUGGAGGAAUACCGGUGGCGAAGGCGGCCUUCUGGACAGAUACUGACGCUGAGAUGCGAAAGCGUGGGGAGCAAACA